AAUUUCUCUAGUAUAGAUUUUGCUGCAGGAACAUAUUUAAAUAAUAGUAGAUUCUUUUUUUCUGUGCAGUCGCAACAUAUGGCAUCUUCUCAUGGCUAGUAAUGAAUUGCAUACUGAUCGAAUGAGGAAUGAUAAACUACUGGAAAUCUGAUGUCUAUUGCUAAACAAAAGCCAAAAUCAGCAAAAUCACGAAAGUUUUCUCAUGUAACAAUUCUAAUAAAAUAAAAAUGUUAUUUGUCUUUUCUACAGUA